rnacentral:lncRNA from 1 species
UUUUUUUUUUUUUUUGCUUUUUAGGGCCACACCCACAGCAUAUGGAGGUUCCCAGGCUAGGGGUCAAUCAGAGCUGCAGCUGCCAGCCUACACCACAGCCACAGCAACACCAGAUCUGAGCCGUGUCUGCAACCUACACCACAGCUCAUGGCAAUGCCGGAUCCUUAACCCACUGAGCAAGGACAGGGAUUGAACCUGCAAACUCACAUGUAUGCUAGUCAGAUUUGUUUCCACUGACCACAAGGGGAACUCCUCCCUCUUGUUUUUACAUCUUAGCCCUCUAAGUUUGAUUAACCAGCACAUGCUUUUUCACAUAGUAUUGAAUGUUCACAUAUUACUUUUUCAUGGAUGUACAGUAUUUAUGUCUUUGUUUUUAAUUUUGUUUCAAAAAAGUGCCCCCUUUCCAACUCUUGUUCCUAAAAAGAAGAGAUAAAGAAAAAGAAUUUUCUGUAAUUUUUUUCUUCUUUGAGAAUUAUCCUAACAUUCCACUUUUCCUUUAUAAUCUUAAGAUUCUGAAGGCACAUCAAACUUGUGUUCAUAUAUUGUCUUUUUGUUUGUUUGCUUGGCUGCACCUGUGGUAUGCAGAGAAGUUCCCAGGGAUCGAACCCUUGCCACAGCAGUGACAAUGCCAGAGAAUCCCAUCUCUUCUGUCUUAAUGUUGAAAAACGACCACAAAACAGCAACACUACACAAAAUAAUCAUAAAAUAUGAGGGCUCCAAGAAAGUUUCAAGAGCACCUCAUGGUCUAUUUCUGAGAUACGACUUCUCUUUGGGAGAAUUUUCUUACAGUGACACCAAUUAUAUGCUCAAUCCAGUACAGAUCGCCUGCUAUUUUUUAUGUGUAUCUGCUUUAGACUUUACUAUAUUACAAUGGUAAACUCAGGUUAUUUAUUUUAGCAAAAGCCUUUAGAAUAUUAAAUUUCAUUCUAGCAUAAUGGUUAACAUAUUUUGCUUUAAACUAUUUAGGUUNNNNNNNNNNNNNNNNNNCUACACAGUCAAUGGCUGUCUGAACACAAAGUAGAGGUGGCAGUGUUCUAAACUUUAAUGUGAGUUGGAUAAUUGUCCAUGCAAGACCAAGAAGGUAGAUAAUAAUAGUGACAAGGUCAAGAUUGUUGUUUAGUUUUUUAUAACAGAAAUUUGUUCUUUGUUUGUACUAUCUCCUCCCUUAGAAAUGAGUUAUCAACAUUUUUUUUUACAUUCCAUCUGAGAUUUUCAGCUAUAAGGAUUAUUUUUUUUAACAACAGUAGCUUUUUCAGAGGGAUUACACUAUUUUUCUUCAUUUUGAUAAGGCAUGAACCACGAAUGUCCAUAAAAGUUGAGAUUAUCAUUGGAACCCAUUAUUUUAUAUCAGAAUUUUACUGACAGAAAGUUUUGAUUUCACCAGAUUCAGACUCUGCCUCAGUGUAAGAACCUUCUUGCCCACCAAUUGGAGCUAUCACUCUCUGCCCAAGCUCAAGGGCUCUGCCCAAAUUCAAGGGACUCUUGAGAUGGGGCUCUGGGCUCUUGCCCUGGUGCUAAUUCUCUCACAACACAUGCCUCUCCCUUAGUAAUUUGUUCUCUUAAAAAUGUUUCACUUAUUUUCUAUUGGUUUUGUCCCCUUUUGAAACCAAUAACAAGUUUACUGGUAAAAUGGCAGCAAAGAGGAGGAAGAUUCCUUUCUGUAUCUUGAUAUAUUUCUCCCCUCUUGCCCUAAGAUUCUGGAGCAGUGUAGUAUGACAAAAUCUCACUGGACUGAGGGAAUGUGAGUAAUUCUUAGGCUGCUCCCAACCAGCUCUGGGCCUCAGGCAAAAACACGUAGCUUUUCUAGGAUUUUAUUUUCUUCAUUUAUGAAAUGACAGUUGGGCUAAAUGACCUCUGACCCCCCCCUUUCCUGCUUUAGAAUUAAAACAAUAUUCCCAAAAUACACCGAAGUCACUAAAGAAAUGCACUAUGGCAAUCCUACAUUAUGUCAGUUCACAUCAGUCAUUCAUUAGUGGGACAUAUCUAAAAAAGUAUGAGCAAGCUCGAUUAAGCAAAGAAUGUCAAACUCAACCAACCUUACUCAAACGGAUUUGAUAUGAAUAGAAAGUGUAUUGUUCACAUACCUGUUAUGACUGAAAGCAACAAUUAUCAAAUAUUUCCAAAAUUGUUUUCUAAUGAAUCUAAAAGACUGUUUAUAUAGUGGAAAGAAUUGCUGUUAUGCUUUUUUCUUUUUCCUUGUUCCAGUUGCUUUGAGCUGCCUGCUGUUCAACAGUGCUCUAUACCUCCUUGCAUAGUGAAAAAUACACAUACAGAGGAAGGAGAAAGGAUUUGAGGAUUUUUGCUAUAUUCUCAUUAUUUCCCUAGACACGAUGCAUACCCGUGUUCAUUUUCAUUAAUGCUCCCCUCCUUCCUUUAUUUCUUAUUCCCUCUCGUUAUCUUUCUAGCAGGAUAAUGUCUUUCCAUUGUCCAUUUUUUCCUCAUUUCUCUCUUCUCAUUACUCUAACUACCUCAUUCUGGCAUCUCACUAAUUUCCCCUUUAGGCUAAAAAUGAAAGAAUCUAAAACAUUUCUAUAAAUUGCUGAAACUUUUUUUUUCCUUUAGAAAAAUAUUCAGCAAUAACUUAUAAAGCCUUUAUGUAUUUACCUUCUGGUUUUGAGCAGAGAGCUAAUUUAAAUACAUUUAAAAUAUCCUUUAAGAUGAAACAACACAUUAUAAAUUAACACCUUAUCCUGAUUUACACUGUUUUAAACCCUUUAAAGGGAAAAUGAAGGAAAAAACCUCAUAAAACUACAAUGAUUUCAAUGUUCCUUAACAGAAAUUCACAUGUGAAAAAUCAUUUAGUUACAACUGGACUCCGGGAUGCAUCAAUUUCCUUCGAUCUCAGAGAACUCGAAAGUCCUGUGCCAUCUUAGACUGUGAGCAGCAACUGAAGUUUGAGGCCCCUAAAGUGGGUAUAACAGUAACCUCCCACCACCCAAUGAAGCUCAUUUUGUCAAGCUCAACAAACACUAAUUUGUGUGCUAAUCUUCUGUGUGAAAGGCGCUCAUCAUUAGUGAAACAAACAAACCAUUUUAGUGUACAACUGUCAACAUGACCAAAAUCACUCACAUUGGAUCAGCACUAUGCCCUGGCCCAUUGCUAAGUGACAUAGACCCCACUGUCCACUGCAACUAAGUCACAAGGGCCAUAUCAGCACAGCAUAGACGAAGCGUUCUUUGACUGCAAAGUGUAAAGGUAAUCGGAGAAGAACCUCAAAUCAGAACCAUCCUUGGAGCCCUACUGCCAGUGCCUUAAGAAAAGGUCUUCCUGCCUCUGGGUCUGGGAUAGCCCUUGCUUGUCUCCCUAACGCCCACAUCUCCCCACUGGUCCACCAUCCUGACUCUUCCCUUAUUACCAAAACCCAGAGAAAAGUGAUCAGUCUACCCUUUUGCCUCAAAACUCCCAUUGGCUCCUUGCCAAACGAGGUCAAAAUAAGCUACAGUGUCAGAUGGAAUCUGUCACUAUCCUGUGCUCCUAUCAUUUGCUGGCAGUAAGACUUUUGGCUAAGGGCAGGGAGUGCCUUAUAGGAUGAGUGUGAGGAAGUCAGUGCGUGUGUGCGUGUGUGUGUGUGUGUGUGUGUGUGUGUGUGUGUGUGUGAAGCAUUAAACCACAUGGCACACAGUGGUUUAAUUAAAUGUAUAUUAUUUUAUUCCCAUUCUCUAUUUCAUUGCUGGAGUGAUUUCAAAUAUCCUAAUAUGGCAUAAUCAGCAGAACCAAACUGUGCUGCUCUAGAACCUUCUUUUACUCUCCCUCCCCCCCUCUCCGCACUUUAGAGACAGCAAUGCUUCCAAACUCAUCAGGCACUUUCAGGAAUCUGUCUUAUACCUAGGACGCCCUCUUCCCGCUCCCUCUUGAAAAUGUGCACUCAUUAUUUAAGAGCAAUCUCAUGUCUUUGCCAGACUCCAGUGAGUUACAGCUCCUUUCUGCCUCCAUUGUAUAUUCACUCACUUGCUCAGCAAAUCUCAGUGAUUACAAGUGUGGACUCUAGAACCAGCUAGCCUGAAUCAAAUCCCAUGUAGCCACUCACUCGUUAUAUAUAAACUUGAGAAAGUUACUUAAUCUCUGUGGCCCAGUAUCUUAAGUUAUAAAACAUAGUUAAAAGCCCUAUUUUAGGAAUUUUUGACAUAGUGCAGGAAAACAAUAAGUGUGAACGGCAAGAGUCUCGGGUUCCUGGGUCUGCUUUUAUUACAUGAGUGAACUUGGGCAACUCAAUGAAAUCAAUACCCACUGUUAACCUUACUGAGUGAUCCACCAUCACCUUUACAUAUAAAAUGAGGGGAAUGAACUGAAUAGUCUCUCUGAGGUCUCAUCUACAUUUACAAUUCUCAAAUUUUCUCUUAACCUCUUUUAUUUAUAGUCCUUCAGAGCUAUUUAAAUAAGUUUUUAUUUCAUUAAAGUGCCCACAGAAUUCCUUAACACAUUACCAGAUCAAAAGUUACUUCCUUCAGAUGGGAACACUUGUACCACAGCCGAGGAGAUUUUCAAUAAAGUCUAAAUUGUGUCUAAGUAUUAAGGAAUUCUGAUUAUUAAAGUAUUAGGAGCCCAACAAAUCCAAGAUUACAGGAAUUUGGGUGUUCUUCUGCACAUCAAGGAGCCCAAAGUAUCACCUGCUGAGAACAGAGGGUGGUCAAACAAAUAUCAUUUCCUAUGAUUCAUACCAACACUAACAUCCUUAAAAGAUGAAUACUAAAAUCAUAAAGACAUUUCAGACCUUCAUGAAUGAAAGAAUUAUAAAGCCAGAGGAAAUUUUAGCAAUUUUUUUUUUGUCUUUUUAGGGCCGAACCCACGGCAUAUGGAGCUUCCCAGGCUAGGGGGUCCAAUCAGAUAUGUAGCCACCAGCCUACACCACAGCCCACAGGAAGGCCAGAUCCCUAACCCACUGAGGGAGGCCAGGGAUUGAAUCUGAGUCCCCAUGGAUGCUAGUCAGGUUCGUUAACCACUAAGCCAUGAAGGGAACUCAAGCUUUAGCAUUUUUAAAACACAUAUUCUCUUUUCAACGUCAUAAACAACCUUUAAGUAUUAAUCUAUAAUGUAACAAGGGAAGAGCAACUAAGAACAAUUUGCUUCCCUACAGAAUAGCUGCAUUUUCACUAUAGAAGGUGUGGGGGAUCAAAAGUAUUGCAUAACAGAUAUGAAUAAAUUUAUCUUUAUUGAUUGUCAAGUCAUAUACCUAGUUUUUAUUAUGUGGCUUAAAAUGUACUUACAUGCACUUGUAGAUACCGAGAUCUAAUCUUAUCAUAAAGUAGUCAUAUGGCUGAUGCCAUAAAUGAAGUAUGGCUCUAAAGCAGUAUGUCUAAUUUUUAAGCAUAUAUCAGAACUUAACCAUAGAUAUGAACUAAUCCUUUUUAAGGUACUGAAGUUAUCUUGAUAAUAUUCUAAUGGGUUCAUCUUUAUCUCAAAACACCUGUUUUGGAAUUAUCUACCUUCAUGUGUGUGUGUGUGUUGGAGGGAAAACCUUAUUUUAGGGUGAAUUAAAUUCAGGGAAACUACCAAAAGGUCAAUCAGCUAUGUAUCAGCAAGUAUAGUAAAAUGCUAUGGUAGACUCCAGCUUUGCAUUAAAACUUUUCAACUUGGCUAUAUGUUUGAAUAUUUUCCAUAAUGAACUGUAGAAAAAAAAAAAGAGCUAAACUUGAUGAAUAAAAUGGGAAAUCUGUUAAGUAACAGACCGACUCUAUAAAAUAAUGUAAAAGAAAUAACUAAACAAAGAAUUUAUGAGCUAGGAUAUAUUUAGAUCUAUAUAGAGAAAAUUAUAGACAAGGUAUUCCCACCGUGUUUCAAACCAUGGCACUACUUUUGGAUUAACUGCACUGUGUUAAAGGUGAGAUCAUGUAUUUGGAUCUCUCCAUUCCUGCGAUCAUAUUCUCUACAUGCAUAGAGGCAACUUUAUGACUCACUUCCUCCAUGGAGUGCUAGAUCAAUGUGUAUCCCUGAAGUAGUUCUAGCAUCCCUCUACUGACGUCUGCUUUUUGAAAAAACUAUGUAGCAAGAAUGGGAAUUUGAUCAAACAUGUGGAACUGACUGAUGCUGGCAUUCAGCCCUAAAUUCAUUUAAAUUAUGAUACCAAAUACAGUAGAAAGGGACCAAGUCUUAUGAAUGGAUACUUCCUGUCUUUGCGAAGCUCUGAACCCCAAGGGGUACCCUAAACCAUAAGUCUCACAACCACAAAAUUUACUCUUCCUUUUUUCUGUUCCCUUUUCUCUUUUGGAACCCAUCAAAUCCUUCAUACAUAGCUACUUCCCUGAGCCAGUUUUGGUGUAACAUUUAAAACCACAGAAUGAUGCUGGGGGGGUUAGCACUCAUUCCAUGAUAGAACUGUAAAAGUGUUCUGAAUUCAGAAAAACUAUGGUGGUAUCAUUAAAGGCUUCAGAAGGAAAAAAAAAAAUCCAAUUUCCCUUUCAUGAAAUGCACUAACAAAAAAAAAAAAAAAA